rnacentral:lncRNA from 1 species
CUGUCAGGGUCCAGCCACAUCCCCCCAAUAUGCAUGUGCUGGAGUCCCACCCCAGGGCCCCCGAACGGACCCCGUUUGGAGACGGGGCUGUCGCAGAUGUGCUUAAGAUGGGUCCCCGUCCGGCCUGAGUGGUGUCCUCAGAGCAAAGGAGAAACCCGCAGACAGACACACACGCAGGGAGGUGACCAUGUGACGACACAGAUGGGGGCGCCCCAAAGAUCUCAGGCACUGGAAGCCGGGGCGAGGCCUGGGCCAGACUCUCCCUUGCAGCCUCGGGAGGAACAGCCCUGUGCACGCCUGACCCCCACGGCUGGCCUCCGGAGUGUGGGAUGAUGAAUAUCUGUUGCCGAAGCCGCCCAGGGUGGGGACGGCGAUGCGCCGCCCCAGGACAUUCACACGGCCUCCAGCAAGCCCUCCUUCUUGCCGUCUUUUCCCUACUGCCCUUCACAGCCCAGCGCGGCAGCUGGGUGUGGGCGAAGACGGGAGCCACGGGGACUGCAAUCCUGCUAAUUGGAACUAAUUUGCCCAAGUUCCCGGGCAGGUCCCAACAGGAGGUGCUGGAAGGGGAGGCAAGACAUUCACGUGACAAGCAGCGGUGGAGCAGGCCUGGAACGCAGCCGUCAGCGAGGUCCGUCGGCUCAGGCUUCCGGGUCCUGACUGGGCGUGUGGGCCCCUGGGGCCGUUACGCAGUUUGCAACCGUGUGUUCAGUCUUCCCUCUGGACGUGUGCCCCCUUACGGAGGGAUGAUGCCUUCCAGCCGCUACCGGCUUCGUCUGGAGGCCGGGAGACGGGCAGGUGCUUGGACCACUGGGCCUGCGUGGGCAGCAAAGCACUCGUCUACACAGGCCUACGUCCCGCUUCAGCGUUUGGGAGAUGGUGCGUACGAAAAUUCCCGGGGCGACACUUUGCAGGACAUUUUGGAGUCCUCUCUCGCCCGAGGUACCAAGCAUAAUCACUCCCUGGAGCCACAGGGCCCCUAGCGGGCCCUCAGCCGUGCCAGUCCGUGUGGACAGCACCAGGGCCGUGGAGGAGCCCCCUUAAGGGUGACUCCUAAGGCAGGUGCGGCCAACCGGGGCGAAGCCAGCAAGACCCAGGUCUGUCGUCACCACUGCCGAGCACAACAAAACUGCCACCACUUGGUGAGGCCGCGUCGGUGCUCCCGUGACAGCAGAGGGGCCGCCGUGACCUAGCUGCCCCGAGGGAGGUUGAGAGGCCCUUGUUCCUCCCCAGGAGUGAGCACGGUGCCCGGAACGCGUUCUCCGCAGAUGCCCGGGAGGCCGUGCACUCCUCGGAGUAACUGUUUCUUUAGUGGUUUUAGCCGAGUUGACUGGCUUGUGAUUUCAGGAAGGGAAGUCAGGACAGAAGCCGCCAGACGCAGGGACCCUCCGAGGCUGGAGCAGAGCCAUCUUCCCGCAGGAGCCCAGACCGUUCCACUGGCUAAAUGAAACUGCAGCUGGCCGCCGGGGCUGGCCGGGCGCCCAUGCACGCUUCUGGGGGCGCUCCAGCUGGCUCUGCAGUCGGG